AAGGGUGCGUAACACGUGGGCAAUCUGCCGAGAAGUGGGGGAUAGCUCGCCGAAAGGCGAAUUAAUACCGCAUGUGGUUAAGGACGACAUCUUCCUGACACCAAAGCCGGGGCAACCUGGCGCUUCUUGAUGAGCCCGCGGCCUAUCAGCUAGUUGGUGAGGUAACGGCUCACCAAGGCUAUGACGGGUAGCUGGUCUGAGAGGACGACCAGCCACACUGGAACUGAGACACGGUCCAGACACCUGCGGGUGGCAGCAGUCGAGAAUUUUUCUCAAUGGGGGAAACCCUGAAGGAGCGACGCCGCGUGGAGGAUGAAGGUCUUCGGAUUGUAAACUCCUGUCAUUUGGGAACAAUUGUUAUCCGUUAACUGCGGGUAAUUUGAUAGUACCAGAAGAGGAAGAGACGGCUAACUCUGUGCCAGCAGCCGCGGUAAUACAGAGGUCUCAAGCGUUGUUCGGAUUCAUUGGGCGUAAAGGGUGCGUAGGUGGCGCCAUAAGUCAGGUGUGAAAUCUCGGGGCUCAACCCCGAAACUGCACUUGAUACUGUGGUGCUGGAGUACUGGAGAGGAGAUUGGA
rnacentral:rRNA from 1 species